UUUACGGCUACUUUGCGGCCUUCACAGCCUCCAUUUACGGCCAUCGCCCGGGGUUACUCAGUAACCUCCGGGUUUGUGAGGUCGAGGAGGCUGCAGAGGAGCACAAGCCUGGCAAUGAGGGUUUUGUGAUAAUAGUAUAAAAAUCUCGACUUGUGUACUGUUGUCAUCACUGCUUGUGAGUCUGUUGUUUUUGUUAAUGUUUCCUCUGAAAGAGUCUGUCCGUUUUCUGUGUAUUGCAGAUCAGGGAACACAAGACUAACAAGUCAUUUGGGGGGGCCCAAAUGUUCUUGGAGACUGACGAGUUUCUCUGGCUGGAGAGGUGGCUGCAGCUGCGGGCGGCCAGCAAGCCACCGAACCAGCUGGUUUUUCUUCACGGCUUGGAAGGGCCCAUGCUAAAACUUCUUGCACCACCUGCAGGUAGCAUGGGCGGAGAUGGGCCUUAAAAGGUCCCCCAACUUCACUGACCUGAGGACCGCUGUGUCUGCUCAUGUCAAGAACAACCUUCUGUCGAGCAGCGGAAGAUGGUGGCCACCUGUAUGUGCCACAACAUGGCCACAGCUGACUGCUUCUACGCCCUCAGCCUGAACGUGGCCCAGUCAAAGACCGUGCCAUCACCGGAGUCACCAGAAGCCUCCUCCUCCUCCACCACCAGGAAGAGGUCCCGCAAGCCUGAGUCCUCCUCCAGUUCCGAGGACAAAACCCCGGUCCCCUACCAGGAGUCAGGGACCUCGGGACUGGAGGAGGAACUCCAGGACAUGGAGGAGGAGAGGGAGUUUAUGGCGAGGCUGCAAAAUACACCAGAGAAGGCCCGAGAAGUCUCGUGAACACGCCAGUGUGCGUCAACCUAACUUGUGUGGAGGGAAACGUCUUCAGGCACACGGGAAUCACCGACAUUUCAGGACCAUUUAUGACGGGUUGGGAUGUUGCCAUCCUUGUGUAACCCAGACUAAAAGGUACACAGGCACGGAUUCACGAGGGAGUGGAGGGGGGCAUUUUAUAGCAUUUUGAUAAGAUGCAUAGUGAUAUUAAUCAAAUACAGUAAUGCACAAACACAUUCUAUGGUUUCUAUGGAGAAAAACAAACAACUUACAUAUGUACAUUAGACAUGCCCUACAGGAAUUGGGAUUUUGUGCGUUGAUACAUUUUGAAACCACUUCAAUACAUGAUACAUGAUGUAUGUUCUAAUGUCUGUAAGUUUGACAUAAAUUAAAUAAUUUGCACAUAUAUGUAUGUGUAUGUUGUCAGUCAUUGUACAUUUAGGUUGAAAUUGAGUGAUGCUUGAUAUUAAAUGAUAUCAAAAUAGCAUCAAAAUGACAUCAACAUCAUGACAUCUUGACAUCAAAUAAAUGUUGAAUUGACA
rnacentral:lncRNA from 1 species